rnacentral:tRNA from 1 species
CAUUAUAGUGGCUGAAAUUUUAAGCAUUGGUCUCUUAAACCAAAUUAUAGUAAUUUAAAACUACUCUUAAUGA